rnacentral:rRNA from 1 species
UGGGGAAUCUUCGGCAAUGGACGAAAGUCUGACCGAGCAACGCCGCGUGAGUGAAGAAGGUUUUCGGAUCGUAAAACUCUGUUGUUAGAGAAGAACAAGGGUGAGAGUAACUGUUCACCCCUUGACGGUAUCUAACCAGAAAGCCACGGCUAACUACGUGCCCG